rnacentral:rRNA from 1 species
GCUCAGGAUGAACGCUAGCGGCAGGCCUAAUACAUGCAAGUCGAACGGUGUAGCAAUACAUAGUGGCGCACGGGUGCGUAACACGUAUGCAACCUACCUUAUACUGGGGGAUAGCCUUUGGAAACGGAGAUUAAUACCCCAUAGUACAUUUGAUUGGCAUCAAUUAAAUGUUAAAGAUUUAUCGGUAUAAGCUGGGCAUGCGUCCAAUUAGUUAGUUGGUGAGGUAAUGGCUCACCAAGACUUUGAUUGGUAGGGGAACUGAGAGGUUAAUCCCCCACACUGGCACUGAGAUACGGGCCAGACUCCUACGGGAGGCAGCAGUAGGGAAUAUUGGGCAAUGGAGGCAACUCUGACCCAGCCAUGCCGCGUGCAGGAAGAAGGCGUUAUGCGUUGUAAACUGCUUUUAUAUAGGAAGAAAUAGUCCUUGCGAGGAAAGUUGACGGUACUAUAUGAAUAAGCACCGGCUAACUCCGUGCCAGCAGCCGCGGUAAUACGGAGGGUGCAAGCGUUGUCCGGAUUUAUUGGGUUUAAAGGGUGCGUAGGCGGUUUAUUAAGUCAGUGGUGAAAGACGGUCGCUCAACGAUUGCAGUGCCAUUGAUACUGGUAGACUUGAGUGGGAUUGAGGUAGCUGGAAUGGAUAGUGUAGCGGUGAAAUGCAUAGAUAUUAUCC